rnacentral:rRNA from 1 species
UACAGAGGGGGCAAGCGUUGUCCGGACUGACUGGGCGUAAAGGGCGCGCAGGCGGUCACGGGCGUCGGUGCUGAAAGUGCGCCGCUUAACGGCGCAAUGCGUGCCGAUACGCCAUGACUGGAGCGCGGGCGAGGGUGGUAGAAUUGCCGGUGUAGUGGUGAAAUGCGUAGAUAUCGGCAGGAAUACCUGUGGCGAAGGCGGCCACCUAGCCCGCUGCUGACGCUGAGGCGCGACAGCGUGGGGAGCGAACUGG